CCUACGGGUGGCAGCAGUGAGGAAUAUUGGUCAAUGGACGGAAGUCUGAACCAGCCAUGCCGCGUGCAGGAAGAAGGCUCUCUGAGUUGUAAACUGCUUUUGUACGAGAGUAAACCUGAAUACGUGUAUUCAACUCAAAGGACUGUACGAAUAAAGAUCGGCUAACUCCGUGCAAGCAGCCGCGGUAAUACGGAGGAUCCAAGCGUUAUCCGGAUUUAUUGGGUUUAAAGGGUGCGUAGGCAGAGUGAUAAGUCAGAGGUGAAAGGUCCGAGCGUAACUCGGGAACUGCAUUGAAUACUGUUGAUCUAGAGAGUAGAUGCGGUAGGCGGAAUGCAUGGUGUAGCGGUGAAAUGCUUAGAGAUUAUACAGAACACCGAUUGCGAAGGCAGCUUACCAAUCUAUAUCUGACGUUGAGGCACGAAAGCGUGGGGAGCAAACAGGAUUAGAUACCCGAGUAGUC
rnacentral:rRNA from 1 species